UUAGGGGGAAAUAUGCUCUUGGGGGAAUACAGGUUUUGGUGGGAAGGGAAAACAGAACACAUGGUUUAAUAAAUUUGUUUGCUCAUGCCCCUGUUGGAAGCCAAGUUGCAUAUCCUCGAGUCCUGAGCCAGAGCCCUGCUGUGGUGACUAGUGCAUUGUGUACCAGCAAAUGCUUGUUUCGUACUAAUUAGUCAAUGACUCACCGGCAUGAGAGGCUCUAGCAGUCAACUGCUUAUGAGCUCAGAGUUCUGUAAGAGUUCUUUGUGAUGCAACUCACCCACUGUCCCUUCCUCACAACAAAAGGCAUCCCAACAUUUCCCAGGUCUACACUUUUCUCCAAAGAAUUGUUGUCAAAGUUCACCAGGCUCUGUUUCAGAGAGCAACCUACUUGUCUGCUCAAAGCCUUUGCAAGGUUUAAGGGCUAACAAUAUCUUCCUGGUCAAGCUACUGUAAGGUAUUUUUACAAGCUAAGUUUCUGAGAAACACAUCUGCACGACAUGGUUAGCCAUGCAUGAAGCUGAGCUGUCACAUUUUAAAUCACACUGAAUUUGUGGUCUUCUAAGCUCAUGGGACGCUGUGAUGAACUGUGAUGAAGUGUCCUGAGAACGUCGUGCCUGCGAUGGAGAGUCUGCAGCCUGGCCUACAGAAACUUGUGAUUGUGAGAGGCUGAAUGUUGAAUACCUGGAGCCCAGGCUGUCCCUCCAGCUGUCACUGAUCCCCUCAAUAGACAUCUGUUACUCAUCUUAGUCAAAAGACCUAACAUCCUUCCGGCUCUCGGUAAAAACAUUGGAAUGUAUCAUGUGACACUAUCUUCCACUAGCCUAAAAGUUAAGAAUGUCAUCACACAGUGUCAAACCUACAGCAGACACUGUAGGUUCCUCUGCUUUGCUGGACCCUGCCUACCUGAUGGCCCACCCCAAACACCAGCAAACACGUUUGAUUUAUGCCUUUCUUUUGAUCUGCAAUAAUGUAAUACAGAUACAUGGAACCUCUUCUGAAGUGGACCAUCUCAUGGGGAGGAGUCAGAGUUCCAGUUUGCAUCGCUGGGAGGUAGCCACUCAUAUAUGGCACCGAAGAAACUCUGCAUUCCCUUUGCAAGCACCCGUUUUUGUCCACAAGCAAGCAUGGCCAGUUUACCCAUUCUUGGUUCCGUGUUAGAAACAACUAAGCACGCUCCAUUUACAGCAUUAAAACACAUAGUGUUUUAUAUGUACUGAGACACACAUAGACACAUGCAAAUACAUCCUUGCACUCAGGCUGGCACUCACUCACCCAUAUAUGCAUGCAUACAUACACAUACUCAGUCUGCUAGCACAUGUCAGAAUUACCUAGAGAACUGCUUGAUAGAUCCAGAUUUGGAGCGUGAAGGGAAUGGGUCCAAGAGUCCCAUCACAGCCACAUGUCUAGUUUCAGUUGUACACACAGAACUGCUGCUGUGCAGAGCAGGAAUUAGGGAUGGGGGUGGGGAGGCUGGUAGGGUUGGGUGAGGAGAGAGAAAGCCUUUCUCUGCCCUUAACUCCCCUCCCCAUGGCCUGAAUAAACUCUAUUCUAUACUAUA